UUACGCUCAUAUCACGUUGAAACACCGGUUCUCUUACGAUCACCAAAGUUAAGCAAGGUCGAGCCUGGUCAGUAUCGAGAUGGGUGACGGUGUGGGAAUAUCAGCUGUUAU